CCUANGGGGGGCUGCAGUUGGGAAUAUUGCGCAAUGGACGACAGUCUGACGCAGCGACGCCGCGUGAAGGAUGAAGGUUUUCGGAUCGUAAACUUCUUUUAUAGGGGACGAUUGUGACGGUACCCUAUGAAUAAGGGCCUGCUAACUACGUGCCAGCAGCAGCGGUAAUACGUAGGGCCCGAGCGUUGUCCGGAUUUAUUGGGCGUAAAGAGUAUGUAGGUGGUCAUUUAAGUCGGUUUUUAAAGUCCCAGGCUCAACUUGGGUUUUGGAACCGAAACUAUUUGACUUGAGGUCAGUAGGGGUAAGCGGAAUUAGCGGUGUAGCAGUGAAAUGCGUUGAUAUCGCUAAGAACACCAAUGGCGAAGGCAGCUUACUAUACUUUCUCUGACACUGAGAUACGAAAGCGUGGGGAGCGAACGGGAUUAGAUACCCGGNUANUC
rnacentral:rRNA from 1 species